CGGUCUUGGGAUCCCGGAGAAGACGGUGGGCGUGGCUUGAGGAAGGGCGUUUGUGAUUGGUGGGUUCUGCCGCGGCCGGGAAGUUCGAACAGAAGUCUGGGGAAGAGCCGGCGAAGAGCAAAGAGAUAAUACAGUACUCCCAGCUAUAGCAAGCGGCAGUUAUGGAGCAUGCGCAGCAGCAGGGGCGGCCGCAGGUCGCCGUUCAAUAAUACGUAAUGUAUAGACUUUUGAGUAUACGAAGCUCCCUGUUUCUCUAGGUUCACCUGAGAUUUAUCUGGUCUUUCAGGGCUUAAAAGGGAGACAUUCCCAAAGAAGAUUCCGUGGGAAGUCUCCUACAAGCCCCGAAGGAAGGGAAUCUCUCUCCUCAUACCUUGAGUUUCCUGAGUACAAUUAUUAUAGAUAUACGAAGAUCUCUGUGCUCAUGGAGAAUUUGUGUCAAGGGAUUUGUACAGCCCUGUAGGAGACACCUCCAGAGAAAGUAACAGCUCUCAAUUGAUUAGCUGAGGAGACCGAUUUUGUAAAUCACUACUUUUCUAACAACACUGGCACAGAUGGCCAAGCAUUCUCCCUUUUCUCAGAGCUGGUUUUCCAUCCCGGAAAGAGGUCUUACAUAUACAAAGUUACUCUAAUCAGUUGUAAGCCUCAGGGGCUGGAUCCUGACAUGAACCAGACACCUCCAGAAUUCUAUCCCAAGCAAAAGAUUAUUUCAAGGCCAGAACUCACUCCCUGCUGGAGACUGACUACAAGAUCCACUGAGAUUGAUGUGUAACCUGAUUGGGCCCACAGUGAUGCUAGCCCCUUCACCAGAUGGAACAAUAAUUCCAGACAAGCCAUCAGAGCAGGUCACACCACUUGACACCUUCUCGCCCCCUUGCCUCUCCUGCAUUCCAAACCCCUCUCUUUAAAAUCCCCAUGUUCCCUCCGUAAACUGGGCAGUGCCAAUUGUUGGAAAGAAUUCUGGCACUCUUUUCCUUCUUAGCAUGGAUAAAAAGAUUCACCCUCUUUUUAUCACACCUCACUCUUGUUAUUUUGGCUUCUUUCUACAAGUGGUGAGCAACCGGGCCCCCUUUGCUGGUUAUAGUAUGA
rnacentral:lncRNA from 1 species